rnacentral:rRNA from 1 species
UACAGAGGGUGCAAGCGUUGUUCGGAUUCACUGGGCGUAAAGGGUGCGUAGGCGGUCGGGCAAGUCUGACGUGAAAUCUCCAAGCCUAACUUGGAAACUGCGUUGGAUACUAUCCGGCUCGAGGAAUGGAGGGGAGACUGGAAUACUUGGUGUAGCAGUGAAAUGCGUAGAUAUCAAGUGGAACACCAGUGGCGAAGGCGAGUCUCUGGACAUUUCCUGACGCUGAGGCACGAAAGCCAGGGGAGCAAACGGG